rnacentral:rRNA from 1 species
UACGUAGGGGGGCAAGCGUUGUCCGGAAUCAUUGGGCGUAAAGAGCGUGUAGGCGGCCCGGUAAGUCCGCUGUGAAAGUCCAGGGCUCAACCCUGGGAUGCCGGUGGAUACUGUCGGGCUCGAGUCCGGAAGAGGAGUGUGGAAUUCCUGGUGUAGCGGUGAAAUGCGCAGAUAUCGGGAAGAACACCCGUGGCGAAGGCGGUUCUCUGGGACGGUACUGACGCUGAGACGCGAAAGCGUGGGGAGCGAACAGG